rnacentral:lncRNA from 1 species
UUUGAUAACUAGGACUUUGACAUUUUGAUAGUUUAUGGUAUUAUUUUACAAAGGAUGAGAUGUCCGCACAACCUUUCAUCAGUGAACUUCCUAAGAAGCUAAUUUAAGAAGUAAAAAUGCUGCAGCUAGUGCCUACCUCUCCAGGAGAGACAGACAGUCCACUCGCUCCUCAUUGGGCUUGAAAUUCCAGAUGAACAGAUAACAGCAAAUGGACCCCUAUUUAAAUUGCAAUAGAUAGGUUGUGUCCCAGGACCCAUGUUACUGGACUGCAUCACCGACGAAGGUUGUGGAAUCCCAAAUUCUGGUCUCCAGGAAAAAUCAGGAAAGGACCUGUGCUGGAGAGUUCCCUUUGUCUUGGGCCAGGUGAUUGUUUCUGAUGGCUUCCAUGACGGGCCAUGGCCAUGAUGCCGUGAUUGAGGUGACAAGACCUUGGCAAAUAUUGACACUGACUUUGGAAAGCAAAUAUGAGUGCUCAUCUCUGGUUGAACAGAUGAAGUGGACCGUGGCAGCAGCAGUAAUGAGAGAGAAGCACGCGUGA